rnacentral:misc_RNA from 1 species
UCUCCGUUGGUGAACCAGCGGAGGGAUCAUUGCUGGAACUGUGUCCGCAAGGACACAACCCCAGAUACCCUUUGUGAACUUAUACCUAUAUAUCGUUGCCUCGGCGCUGAGCUGGAAGCACUUCGGUGCUUUCCCACUGAGCAAUCAGUGGAGCAGGCCCGCCGGUGGCCCAUUAAACUCUUGUUUAUUUUUGUCUUCUCUGAGUUAUUCAAAACAAAUGAAUCAAAACUUUCAACAACGGAUCUCUUGGUUCUG